rnacentral:rRNA from 1 species
UACGUAGGGUGCAGGCGUUAAUCGGAAUUACUGGGCGUAAAGCGUGCGCAGGCGGUCUUUUAAGGCAGAUGUGAAAUCCCCGGGCUUAACCUGGGAACUGCGUUUGAAACUGGAAGGCUAGAGUGUGGCAGAGGGGGGUGGAAUUCCACGUGUAGCAGUGAAAUGCGUAGAUAUGUGGAGGAACACCGAUGGCGAAGGCAAUCCCCUGGACCUGUACUGACGCUCAUGCACGAAAGCGUGGGGAGCAAACAGG